rnacentral:lncRNA from 1 species
UGCUCCCAUGAAUCAAAUCUUCUAUAACAACAAUAAACUAACGGCCAGGAUUCAUACAACCCUGGCGCGACACUAUCAUAGAAUCCAGCAGCGGUGCGUGGAGAACACCAUCAGUGGCCGUCGUCGGCGAUGGAGAUAGGUUCCGCAGGUUGCUGCUGCGUAAUGCAAUGUAUGUUUCCUCCAGCUAGAACAAUCUCUCUCGCGUUCUCUAUCCCCACAACCUUCAAAAAUCAAAACGAUUAAGCUAUUGACACUUUCAUUAUAUGAAUCAAUGAGUUUGUUAUAACUAACCGAGUGAUGAGGAUACGUCUCCGAGAGGACACGAAUCGCCUCUUCAUCGCGUUUUGCGUCACCGAACCGCGGCACGAUGACUCCUCCGUUAGCUAUGUAGAAGUUCACAUAUGAAGCUGCGAGUCUCGUCCCUGCUAUCCUCGGUUUAGCUUCGCCUUCCUGAACGAUCCCAGAAGCUUCUUCUUCGGUCAUAUAAAGCGGUCCAGGGACGUGGAGCUUGAUGACUUCAAUCUUCCUGCCGCGAGCAUCAAUUGAAUUUGAGAAAACCGAAAGAGCUUCUACUGAUCUUUCGUACUGAGGAUCAGUUUCAUCGUCUGUCCAAGAGAGUAACACGACUCCCGGUUUAGCAAAGCAGCACAUGUUAUCAAUGUGGCCGUUUGUGUCAUCAUCACCUGCCAAAAAGAUCGAAUUUAGUACUUCAUAAGUUUCAAUUUAAUUUUGGCCAUAGAGUAAAACUUCUAUAUCAAAAUAAGUAUUUUUUUCAGAAUUUUAAUGCAAAAUUUAUUAAUAAUAUUUUUUAAAAGUUUUUAAUCUAUAUGCAUAAACCGUGAAACUGAAGAAGUAUAAGAUGGCCAGUUUCUAUUAGAGUUAAGUUUCUGUUAGAGUUAGUGGAGUGAAGAGGAGUUUUACCGUAAAGACCACGAGGAAGCCAGAUGAAUGUUUGUACUCCGAGAUAACACUUGAGUUCUUCCUCUAUCUGCUCUUUGCUCAUGUGAGGGUUACGGUUUUUGUUCAAGAGACACUCUUCCGUUGCAAGGCAGGUUCCUGAAAGAGCAGAACAUAAACUCAGAUGGUCUGUCAAGUUUUUGAGGUCUAAGGUUGCUAUGAAAAUGUAUACAAACCUUCUCCGUCGACAUGGAUGCUGCCUCCUUCAAGAAUCAUCGAGUGUUGAAACCUUGGAAUGCGCUCAACAGCGAGAACCUGAUGAGCAAAAUCAGUAUUUGAAACAUGGUAUUGAGUAAAUAUAUAGCUAGCAGUUGUGAACCUUUUUGGAAACAAGAAGGUCAUGAGUCCAAUCAUUGUAACAUCCAUCCUCAGCUCCUGCCAUUGGCAAAGUCCAAAAGUCAUGUCAAGUAGUUGCUGAAAAUGAAUGCUAGAGAAGAGAGAAAAUGUUUCCACAAAGCCUUGCCUCCCCAGGCAUUGAAGUUCCAGUCGAUUCCAGCGAUGUUUCGGUUAAUAGAAGUGAGCUUCAAAGGUCUUUUCCGCACAACAAACUGUACAAAUAGAGAAGAGAGAGAAAAGCAACCACAGUUCAGAACAGAUGGUGGUAAGAUGGGAUAAAAGGGAGAAGAUAAAGAACUAACAGUUGGUCCAGAGUCGCGGAACCAAGAAUCAUUCAUGCUCAUCUCAACAACUCUGAUCUCUUCUGGAAGCUGUUUCCUUGCAUUUUCCCACUAAAACAUUCACGGAAGCAAAAACUAAUUAGUACCAGAGGAAAAAAUUUAUAUACCAGUUAUGAUUAUAAACAUACCUGAGAGGGGCUUGCACAGACUGUCACAGGUUCGAACAUUGAGAUAGCCUUUGCAACAUCUACAAACACUCGUUGUGCUGGUAGAGCGUUGUGCCUCCAGUUAUCUUGCCGUUCCUGCAGCCAUUUAUUUAUGUCAGAAUAUUAAAACCAAGAUCCAAAAAUCACAAAAGCAUGUUUCAGGUUAGAACUAACACUGUUUGAUUCAUGUAACCAGAAAAUCACAUGGUAAUAUUAUUUUUUUUGGCAGAACUACAUAGAUAUCGAUAUCACAGAUCUCAUCAGAUCAUAAUUUAGAAGCUAAAAAAAAAUCAGUUCAUCGGAAACUCCGAAACUAACGAACCAUGGUUUUAAAAACAGAGAACUCAUCAAACAAACGUAAGACAGCAAAUCAAAACUACAUAAAUUACGAGGAGAUGAAAAAGUAUAAAUUGAAACGAAGGUUGUGUGUGUAAGCUUGAACAGCGAAAUUCAGUGCAAGGGAACCGCCGUCUAUGAACGAAUAUUCUCUACACGAAAAGAGAAAAGAGAGAUAGAGAGAGAGAUUUACAGGCCAGCCGAUCCAAGUUUGAGCAUGAGGCUCCCACUCCGCCGGCAUGUAGAAGCCGUGUCCCGCCGGCGGCGAUUCUCGUGACUCCUCCAUUCCCCCAGGUAAUCUCUGUGUGAGUGUGAGUGAUGGAGAGAACGCGGAAAGUCAAAUAUUUUAACUGCUACUACUUAUUUAGUUAUUUUCCUUGUUUUUAUUACAGGACCAGACCCACGUAGUUAUGUUUUUCUUACAAUUGGGCCCAUUACUUUACUGUACAACUCUAACAUUCCCAAUACCUGACCCCACCUCUAGUGUCGUGAAGGAAUCAGAAUCUAGAACUUUACUUGGUGGUGGGCCUGGUGAUAGCUACCAACCAGAAACAGAAUCUGACCAAGUUGCGAAUCACGACAAAAGUUGUUGGGAUAUUUUUAUUUUUUACAUUUUUCCAUGUCUUAACAUUUUAAGCUGUUCUGUAAAAAGAAUUCUGCCAAAAAAAACUCCAACUUUGCACGAAUUGCCAAAAGAAACAUGAAUUUUUGGACUGACCAAAAAAACACCAAACUUUCAUUGACUUUAGAAUUAAUUAACAAUGUUUUCGCUGACUUGCCAAUUUAGCAUGCCGUCAAUAAAUUUAACAGAAAUAUUUGACGUCGUUUAUUGUUGGCGCUUAGUGAAACGACCUCUGGAUUCGAAUCCAGGUUGGUUGGUCAAAUGGCAAGGUAUUUUACCACUGGGCUACUGACACUUUCAAUGUACUUACUAACAUGUUUACUUUUAUUUGAUACAUAUUAAAUAUAAAAAAUUCUCUAAAAACUUAAUAAGAUCUUUAAAAUUCCAAAAAAAAAUUAAAAAACGCCGGUGCUGCAUAUCUCCAUUCUUCAUGAUCCUUUUGUAAUUUCUAUGUGAAAAGUGUCUACCACUUUCAUUUUUGGGGAAAAUAUAAUCUUCAGAUGGUGGUGGGAGAGGACCUUUCUCAACCAAAUAAUCUCUUAACUUCUGGUCAAUUUUUCUCCAAUUUCCAGGAUCCAUAAGAUCAAAGGCUGAAUCAUCUUCUUUAAAAUGCUCGUCCGCUGCAUUUGAGUUGACAUCUUCAUCAUCUAUCUCAGCUCUAUCCCUAUUCUCUUCUUGAUCAUGGUUUCCAUAUCCAGUUCUAACCCCAUCAACCUCAUCAUCUGGUUCAGAUCCAUCAACCUCACCAGUUUCACUACUAUCCUCACUAGUUCCAUCAACCUCAUGGUCCUCAUCAGUUCCAAGCAAUGCUGGUUUCUUAAAAUACUUUAACAGAGAACCUGACUGAGACUUCACUAGUUCUUCUACUCUUCUUUUUUUUGCUCUUUUUUUAGCUCCAGAAAGGUAUAUUCUUGAUGCACUCAUUUUUUUCUGCAGGAUGAAGAUAUAAAAUUUAAAGAUUGUAAUUCAGUUUUGACAUUAUAAAAUUUGACUAUUAAAAACCUUCAAACCAAAACGAGUAAAUCAAUUGAAUUAGAGAUGAAUAAACAAUAUAAGAUUUGUUAAACGAAAAUAAAAUUUGAUUUUACCUAAGAAUCAAAAGACAAAAUCUCUGGUUUUCUUAUGAACUUGCUUUUACAGAGAAGGGAAGAAGCUGAAAAGACUGUCUCGUAGCUCGUAAGUUUCCUUUGCUGAGUUAAAAUAUGAUGCUUUUUACUUAUUUAAAUUUAUUAUAAUAUUUACAAUUCUUUAAAUAAAAAAAAUAGAGAUAUCUUCAGACUUACGUGCUAAUAAUGUUCGUGACAUGUAUUUUAUUCUGUCACUAGAAACCAAAAUUUUACUUUUUAAUUUGACUUUGCACCUAAGAUUCAUAUAUUAACAUUACAUACAAAGGAAAAAAUUGGAAGUGGGGGCCCCAUGAGGUGGGGGCCCCAUACGGAUGUUUCGCGAGAUUGCGUAGAAGCCCGGCUCUGCCGACAAGAAUGGUCGGACCGAGCAGAAUUUAGAACCAAUAAACAUUAAUUUCGUUAGUCAACGAGCUACAAAUGUAACGAUCGUACGGUUCUCGUUUGCUCCCAUGAAUCAAAUCUCGUUUGCUUUCAUUAAUUCAUUAAUCAUAAAAUUAAUUUUUAAUUAGAAGGACAAUGUUUUUAACUGUUUUGCUGUUAAUGUAAUAAUUAUUUUUAUCAGUAUAACCGACAAGAAUGGUCUGACCGAGCAGAAUUUAGAACCAAUAAACACUAAUUUCGUUAGUCAACGAGCUACAAAUGUAACGAUCGUACGGUUCUCGUUUGCUCCCAUGAAUCAAAUCUUCUAUAACAACAAUAAACUAACGGCCAGGAUUCAUACAACCCUGGCGCGACACUAUCAUAGAAUCCAGCAGCGGUGCGUGGAGAACACCAUCAGUGGCCGUCGUCGGCGAUGGAGAUAGGUUCCGCAGGUUGCUGCUGCGUAAUGCAAUGUAUGUUUCCUCCAGCUAGAACAAUCUCUCUCGCGUUCUCUAUCCCC